UACGAAGGGGGCUAGCGUUGCUCAGAAUGACUGGGCGUAAAGGGCUCGUAGGCGGUUUGUCACGUCGGGAGUGAAAACUCAGGGCUCAACCCUGAGCCUGCUUCCGAUACGGGCAGACUAGAGGUAUGCAGGGGAGAACGGAAUUCCUGGUGUAGCGGUGAAAUGCGCAGAUAUCAGGAGGAACACCGGUGGCGAAGGCGGUUCUCUGGGCAUUACCUGACGCUGAGGAGCGAAAGUGUGGGGAGCGAACAGG
rnacentral:rRNA from 1 species